rnacentral:ncRNA from 1 species
GCAGAGUAGGCGCGUAUGUGUCCAGUGCCGGAAAGACGGGGAGUUGCUUUCCGGACGAAAGGGGCCGCAGGCCCCGCAGUAUACCCGCCGCAUCCCGCUGC